rnacentral:rRNA from 1 species
UACAGAGGUCUCAAGCGUUUGUUCGGAUUCAUUGGGCGUAAAGGGCGCGUAGGCUGCGGGGCAAGUCGGGUGUGAAAUCUCAGAGCUCAACUCUGAAACUGCACUCGAUACUGCUUUGCUUGAGGACUGGAGAGGAGGUUGGAAUUCACGGUGUAGCAGUGAAAUGCGUAGAUAUCGUGAGGAAGACCAGUGGCGAAGGCGGAUCUCUGGACAGUUCCUGACGCUGAGGCGCGAAGGCCAGGGGAGCAAACGGGG